GGGCCCUUAGCUCAGUUGGCUAGAGCGCUUCCAUGGCAUGGAAGAGGUCGUCGGUUCGAACCCGAUAGGGUCCACCA
rnacentral:tRNA from 1 species